GAUGAACGCUGGCGGCGUGCCUAAUACAUGCAAGUCGAGCGAACAGACGAGGAGCUUGCUCCUCUGACGUUAGCGGCGGACGGGUGAGUAACACGUGGAUAACCUACCUAUAAGACUGGGAUAACUUCGGGAAACCGGAGCUAAUACCGGAUAAUAUAUUGAACCGCAUGGUUCAAUAGUGAAAGACGGUUUUGCUGUCACUUAUAGAUGGAUCCGCGCCGCAUUAGCUAGUUGGUAAGGUAACGGCUUACCAAGGCAACGAUGCGUAGCCGACCUGAGAGGGUGAUCGGCCACACUGGAACUGAGACACGGUCCAGACUCCUACGGGAGGCAGCAGUAGGGAAUCUUCCGCAAUGGGCGAAAGCCUGACGGAGCAACGCCGCGUGAGUGAUGAAGGUCUUCGGAUCGUAAAACUCUGUUAUUAGGGGAGAACAAAUGUGUAAGUAACUAUGCACGUCUUAACGGUACCUAAUCAGAAAGCCACGGCUAACUACGUG
rnacentral:rRNA from 1 species